GAUCAUGGCUCAGGAUGAACGCUAGCGGCAGGCCUAACACAUGCAAAUCGAGGGGCAGCACGGUGUAGCAAUACACUGGUGGCGACCGGCGCACUGGUGCGUAACGCGUAUGCAACCUACCCAUAACAGGGGGAUAACACUGAGAAAUUGGUACUAAUACCCCAUAACAUCAGGACCGGUAUCGGUUCUGGUUGAAAACUCCGGUGGUUAUGGAUGGGCAUGCGUUGUAUUAGCUGGUUGG
rnacentral:rRNA from 1 species